GUGUUGACGCGCCAUUUUGUAAGUUUUUUUGUUGACCAACAUAUAGAUAAUUGUAUAGAUGGUGGAUGCUUCAAAUUCUUUGUCUGACACUGCAUUUAAUUCGAGUGCUUCCCAUGAUAUAACUAGGUACUCGGAUAUUCGGCUUCCUCCCUUUUUUCCUAUGGUUAAGCCUGAAUGCAAGACUCCGGCGUCGAUUUUUUUCAAAUGCUUCUCAGAAUCGAGCGAGCCAACUGACAACCAGGAUGUGAAUGCUGGCAUAAGGGGUCUAUGGAAAUGUCAAAAUUUGAUGCGCGUUUAUGAGAAAUGUAUGAACGACCACUAAAACUAGCUUUCUUCUUGAGUAUGAGAUGGCGUGCUAUAAUAUUAUAAACAACCUAUCAACAGUUAGUUUUUCUUUAUUCAUGCA